UCCAUCUCUCUCACCCUCCCAUCCGGUUGUAGGCAAGGAAGGAGCUCGGGUGGAGUUUCGUCGCCGACGUGGUGCCGCGGAGCCGUUCGGGCGCACGUUUCGUCGUCGUGGUGCUGUGAGGAGCUCGGGCGAGCGUGGAUUUCCGUCGUCCUCGACGUGGCGCCGACCCUUGAGGAUCUAGCGAGAAUUUCACCGUCGACUGUUUGUAUUUUGGCUCGUUCUCGACGUAGAAGCAUCGGAUUGCGACGAGACUUGGCUCGUUGGAUUCAGGACUGCGAGAGGAAUCCACGAAGCCCUUACUUGCUGGAUUUGGUGAAGAGCUCGAGCUUAGGCGAUCUCUAUACUCGGCGGGUUCCGGGUGAUCCAGCGGGUUGCUCUACACCAGUGGGAGUCCUUCGCUGCCAGGGAUUAGCAUUUUAGAGCCACAGGUUCCGGCUGCUGCACCGUCUGCGGACCAGGAUCGAGGCAAGGGCG